rnacentral:tRNA from 1 species
CGGAGCAUGGCGCAGUUGGUAGCGCGCUAGGUUUGGGACCUAGAGGUCGCGGGUUCAAGUCCCGCUGCUCCGA